rnacentral:lncRNA from 1 species
GUCAUUUAUAGGAAAAUGUAUGGAACUUGAGAACAUUAUGUUAAGCAAAAUAAGCCAAACUCAGAAACUGUCAAGAGUCAGUCAUAUGUUUUCUCUCAUAUGUGGAAGACAGAGAACAAAGGGCAAAAAAUUUAAAAGGAGAGGGUGGGGCAUCUCAUGAAAUUAGAAGUGAAACCAGCAGAGUAGAAGAAGGGGACCAGGGUAUGGAGGAGGGAAGGAAAAGUGAAGGUACAAGGGAAUGAGAUUGAUCAAAUUAUGUGCAUGUAUGAAUGUGUCACUAUUAUGUAUAAUUAUGCUGCACCAAUUAAAAAUUAAUUUAAAUAAAAAUAUGUAUAAAAGAGAAAAGUGCACUAAAAUAUUUCAAAUUUUUGAUAGCCCCAAACUGAUAAUCAGCCAACUGUUCAGUAAUAGGAUGGAAUUUUAUGUAGGUAGUAAAAUUAGGUAAAAAUAGGAAGAGCUUUCGUUAAUUGAGUUGUUAUUAGCUCAUUUGAAAUAAAUUAUUUUAUUUGAUCCUCAUAACAGCUCUAUGAGGUAGGUGUUAUUAUCAUAUUAUUUCUUCUCACUCAUAGAUGAGGAAAAU